CUAACACAUGCAAGUCGAGCGGUAGCACAAGGGAGCUUGCUCCCUGUAGUGACGAGCGGCGGACGGGUGAGUAAUGUCUGGGGAUCUGCCUGAUGGAGGGGGAUAACUACUGGAAACGGUAGCUAAUACCGCAUAACGUCGCAAGACCAAAGUGGGGGACCUUAGGGCCUCAUGCCAUCGGAUGAACCCAGCGAGGGGAAGCGGACCUCAUAAAGUACGUCGUAGUCCGGAUUGGAGUCUGCAACUCGACUCCAUGAAGUCGGAAUCGCUAGUAAUCGUAGAUCAGAAUGCUACGGUGAAUACGUUCCCGGGCCUUGUACACACCGCCCGUCACACCAUGGGAGUGGGUUGC
rnacentral:rRNA from 1 species